rnacentral:lncRNA from 1 species
AGUACUAUUGUCACUGUCUGUACCAAGAAAAGGAGCUGUUGAUUUUGCUUUUAAGUGCUUCUGAAUAGAAAAGGAUAUUUUUGUUUGGGAUCAAGUUUAAGGGAUCACUUGUCAAGAUGAACAAAAUCAUUUUUGGAGUUCUAGCGGUUGUAGGAUCUUUCAUGCUGGUGGAAUCCCUGACAUGCAACAAAUGCACUGUGGGCGUGCUAAGUCUUUGCCUGAACCCUAGUACUCUAACCUGCACAACAAACACAAGUGCCUGCUUCACAGGCAAAGCCACCUUUCCAUCCAUUAGUAAUUCCAUAGGCUUCAGCACCCAGGGCUGUCUGAAUAGCGAUUUGUGCAACAGCACCAACGCUACAAACAGCAUCCUUGGUGUCUCCUACACCACUGUAACACAAUGCUGCUCCACAAACAACUGUAACCCAUCAUCAAUCAGUGGCGCUACCUCUGCUAAGCUCUCUGUCACCGCAGCCAUAGGUGCCGCACUUGUGGCCUCAGUAUGGGGCAGCAUGCUUUACUAGAACUAAAGGGCAUUGACUCCUACUUUGUUUUGAUAUAAUGCCAACUAUGGCUAAGGCUUUUAGUUAGGGCUAGGGUUUUUAGGGGUUUAUAAUAAUUUUUAGGGCUUUAAGGGCUUUAUUGUUUUAAUUUAACUUCUAUCACUGAUGUUUUAGCGUUUUAUUUUCAGGAAUUUUUUAUUGUGUAUUUUAUCUUGUGUUUUCUAUAUCUAACUUUGUGUUUAUUUGUACCUGAUACUGCACUUGAAAUAAAUAAACUUACUUACUUACUAUGGCUUUGUUUCAGAGCUAUGCAGUCUGGGUCAGAACCUAAUGAGGUAGUUAUUAAACAAGGAAUAUGACAUCUGUUAUUGACCAAUCGUGUGCUGUGGGUGUAAAACUGCAUUCAUAAUCCU